UAAGGCCCAUUGGGCCCAGUUAGUCAUAUCACAUAAUAUCCUAUGUUGAGUUUGAUCGAGACUGUUGUUGAUUUGUGAAUUCGAAUUAUGGUCAAGCAAGCAUUGAUUAUUGAACCAAAUUUCUAAUUGAACCGGUAAUGGUUAAGAUUAGAUUGAUUUAUCGGCUUCGGUCUUCGAGAGUCUCUGAUGGACAAAAGCGUCGCCUUUACCUCACGUUGUCGAUAGUAACCAAAAUUCAGCAGUUCUGUCAUCAUUGAAAGUGAAACUUAAAUCUCCAGGAAAAUGAGCAACCUUCCGAUAAACAUAUUUUUUGAUUAUGAAGGAUAUUAUUCAAAUACCAGAGAUAAGUAUCCAUGGAAUCCAAGGGAAGGUAGGUUUUACGGUAUAUCGUUUAGGAAAUCAUCAGUGGAGGAGAUAACUUAUUCGGGAUUAGUGGAUAGGAUAUGCAAGAAGAUUGGGAUAGAUGAAUCUACGACAAAGCUGAAAUUGAGUUAUAUUCCAUUGGUAGUUAAAACUUAUACACAAUCAUAUAUUUUGAAUGAUGAUGAUGUAUAUGUUUUUUUAACCUCGUUGGAUAAAGAGCAAUGUAGAAGUGUGUUGCAUGUAGAAGUCAUCAAUGAUUUGGAAAUGGCUCUGUUAAACGAGCAACAUUCGAGAAUAGAGAAAGGAAGUUCAGUUGGUGUGAACUAUGGUGAGCUGAUUUCAAAUGGUAGAGAUAUUGACAGUGUUAAUGUUGGUACCGUGAAAACAAAAAAACGUCGCCUAAAGCAUAAGCAAGUUCCAUGCGGAAACUUGGAGAGCUGGUUUCGGAGCCAGAGAGAUAGCCAAGAUCAUAACCAAAAUCUUUGAUUAUGUUGUUUUAAGUACUCUUUGGUUUUGUAAAACUUUGUUUUGUAAUGGUACAAUACAACUAUGUAUAUCUUUAAUUUCAUGUUUUUAUGUACUUUUUGGUUUUCAA